rnacentral:rRNA from 1 species
GCAAGUCGAACGAGAACGGGUCUUAGCUUGCUAAGAUUGUCAGCUAAGUGGCGCACGGGUGAGUAAUAUAUAGUUAACCUGCCCUAGAGAGAGGGAUAACGUUUGGAAACGGACGCUAAUACCCUAUAUGCCUUUAAAACAAAAGUUUGCAAGGGAAACAUUUAUGGCUCUAGGAUGGGACUGUACGGUAUCAGUUAGUUGGUGAGGUAAUGGCUCACCAAGACAAUGACACCUAACUGGUUUGAGAGGAUGAUC